rnacentral:tRNA from 1 species
GUAGCUCAGUGGUAGAGCGCUUGCCUUGCAUGCUUGAGGCCUGGGUUCAAUUCCUCAGC